AUCCAUUUACAGAGACUUUCCACUGACUGUCACCAUAAACCUGAAGACAGCUGUUCUCUAAAAAGAGUCCCCAUGGAUCUUUUACGCACCUACAGGUGGUUAUGGGUGAUCAUUGCGAUUAUUUUUAUAUGUGGCAUCAUCAGCCUCAUCUUCAUUUUCAUCAACAAGUGCAUAUCAAGACAAGG